rnacentral:rRNA from 1 species
AACGAACGCUGGCGGCAUGCCUAACACAUGCAAGUCGAACGAGACCUUCGGGUCUAGUGUCGCACGGGUGCGUAACGCGUGGGAACCUGCCCUUAGGUUCGGAAUAACUCCCCGAAAGGGGUGCUAAUACCGGAUAAUGUCUUCGGACCAAAGAUUUAUCGCCUUUGGAUGGGCCCGCGUUGGCUUAGCUAGUUGGUAGGGUAAAAGCCUACCAAGGCGACGAUCCAUAGCUGGUCUGAGAGGAUGAUCAGCCACACUGGGACUGAGACACGGCCCAGACUCCUACGGGAGGCAGCAAUGGGGGAUAUAGGAAAAGGGGCGAAAGCCUGAUCCAGCAAUGCCGCGAGAGUGAUGAAGGCCGUAGGGUUGUAAAGCUCUUUUACCCGGGAUGAUAAUGACAGUACCGGGAGAAUAAGCACCGGCUAACUCCGUG